rnacentral:misc_RNA from 1 species
UUCAAUCAAUGCGUCAAUU